rnacentral:rRNA from 1 species
GACGAACGCUGGCGGCGUGCUUAACACAUGCAAGUCGAACGGAAAGGCCCUGCUUUUGUGGGGUGCUCGAGUGGCGAACGGGUGAGUAACACGUGAGUAACCUGCCCUAGACUUUGGGAUAACUUCAGGAAACUGGGGUUAAUACCGGAUAGGAGCUCCCGCUGCAUGGUGGGGGGUGGAAAGUUUCGGCGGUUGGGGAUGGACUCGCGGCUUAUCAGCUUGUUGGUGGGGUAGUGGCUUACCAAGGGUUUGACGGGUAGCCGGCCUGAGAGGGUGACCGGCCACAUUGGGACUGAGGUACGGCCCAGACUCCUACGGGAGGCAGCAGUGGGGAAUAUUGCACAAUGGGCGGAAGCCUGAUGCAGCAACGCCGCGUGCGGGAUGACGGCCUUCGGGUUGUAAACCGCUUUCGCCUGUGACGAAGCGUGAGUGACGGUAAUGGGUAAAGAAGCACCGGCUAACUACGUG